rnacentral:lncRNA from 1 species
GGCAAUAAGGCCGGCAUGAUCCUUUAUAUACUCAAAACAUAGGCCGAAAAGGCCAUACAAGAAUCUGUAUACAUAACAUCUAUCACAAGCCUCUAAAAAUACAUAAUAUCAUUAAGGUCGGGAUAGGGCCCUGCCUUACCAAUGAAUACAUGCACUAAUCAUACUUACCAAAGUAGCAACUCCGAAGCAUAUGGAGCACACCAACCCCUUCUGCUGAGCUGGUAGCCUAUUUGGAAGACUCUCAACCUGUCUAUUAGGACCUGCAGGUAUGAAACGCAGUGUCCCCAGGAAAAAGGGACGUUAGUACAAAUAAUGUACAGAGUAUGUAAGGAAUGAAAAUUAGUAAAUAAUAGACAUGAGAGAAACAUGGAGUAAAAGACUCAACAUGUAAGUCUGGAUAACUCUGUAAAUUAUGGAAUACUUAUAGUGUCAUGCAUAUGUGUAUGAAUGUCAUGUCGUGCAUAGGUACAUGUGUUCAUAACAUCAUCAAGCCUUUGAGGGCAUCCAAUCAUAUCAUCUCGGCCACUGUGGGUAGAAUCAUCAACCUAUACCAGCUGAUCAGAUGGUGGUGCAUAUAUAUCGCUAUAACCGUUUUACCAUAUCCCAUAUAUAUAUAUAUAUAUANNNNNNNNNNNNNNNNNNNNNNNNNNNNNNNNNNNNNNNNNNNNNNNNNNNNNNNNNNNNNNNNNNNNNNNNNNNNNNNNNNNNNNNNNNNNNNNNNNNNNNNNNNNNNNNNNNNNNNNNNNNNNNNNNNNNNNNNNNNNNNNNNNNNNNNNNNNNNNNNNNNNNNNNNNNNNNNNNNNNNNNNNNNNNNNNNNNNNNNNNNNNNNNNNNNNNNNNNNNNNNNNNNNNNNNNNNNNNNNNNNNNNNNNNNNNNNAAAACAUCAUAAGGCCAUUAUGCCUGUGAUUAAUAUCAUGAAGUAAACUUUAUCAACUUACGUAUUUUCUGAGACCCAUGAACAUAUGAUAGAAUAAUAGGAUACAUGGGGAAUCAAGAACAUAGGCAUCUCUAGCAUUUCUAUGAAUAGAGUCAUUUAGGAAACUUGUGCAUUUGCUCGUUUUGUUUGUAUCGUAUGGAUCAUGCCAAAAGGAAAGAAGGGAUAUCUUUAACAUACCUGAGUCGAUUCUCUUGGUAAUCCUUCUAACACACGUCUUUUGCAAAAAACAUGUAACGGUGGAUCGAAGUAGGAAAAAUUCGUAUGAUAUUCUUGAGAAAGAUUGUACCAUACUACCUUAGAAUUGCACGUCACGUUGCUAUUACAUAAUUCAAAAUUGUAUUAAUGAGAUAUGAAUAAAGCUUACCUUAGACACCCAAAUCUCUUAAAAUUCCAUCUAGCAAUGUGACUAAAGAGUCACUUAAAUCAAUAUUCUUGGGCUUCCACGUUUGGGAGGGUUUAAUAAGCCUUAUCCAAAAUUUUAAUUAUUCAUUAAUUUAUUAUUUAACUAAUUAAUCUCUCGUUAACCAAUAAUCAUCCAAUUACACACAUAAUUAAGAAUUAUCUCAAAUUACUUAAAAUAAUACUCACUUUUAACAUACCUUAUAUACCUUACUAUCAUGGCCAUGUGGUAUCUUAUAUGGUACUAGUCCAUAAAUACCAGAUAUUUUAGCAGGGGCCGUAUUUUAUCUCAAAAUGUCAAACUUCGAUGAAUUUUUUUUUUCGAUUUUCUUACCCUCUCACCUUUAUGAAUUUACUCAUCACUUGUUUGAAAUAACAUAAUGCUUAUAAUCUCAUUCAUGAACUUACGUCGAUUAACUUACGACAAAACUUAAACGUACAAAAAAAUACGGGAUGUAGUAACUCAUUUUCAAGCAUUCAUCAAUUUUCUUAUGACAUACUUUUACGUACAAAAAUAUCGGGUGUUAAAUCAUUUCCCCCUUUGGAAUAUUCAUCCUUUUUUUAACUAAUGUAUUUAUUGUCCUCAUAACCCGUAGCUCUUACGAAUGCUUUAAUACUCUUCUUUCCAUUAAGACAAUUGUUCUUUGAAUAAAUUCAAAGGCCAGGCAUUCCCCCCUUUAGGCCUCUUUCUCACACCACGAUCUGUGGUCAGAAUUCUUCUAACCUCUUAACUCUUGCUACUUUUUGUCAUGUAGCCUGUACAACUUUUUCCUUAUAUCUGCGCCUAUGCGACUCUUCUCCCCUUUUUCCUCCAGUUUUUGGCCAAUCUCUAGGCAUCACUUUGUAAGCAUAUACAGAGCUUGAAAAGCUAUCUCUUUGGGCAUUUAUAGGUGUACUGAAGUUCUUUGCUCGAUACUUUGUUGAACUUACGAAUAUUGCUAUACCUUAUUUCAUAGACCUGGUUAUCCAUUCGUGUGACCUUAGUGCAUCUAGGCAGGUCAUGUUAUACCAUUACUCUUACUUCGAUUAAUCGUAACUGAGGUCUACUACCAAACUCCAGGUUACUUUCGUUGCUUAUCCCAUACUUUGUCACUCCAUCCAUUGUUAUUCACAUCAAUAUUGAUCUACAAUGUACCACUGAUAACUUAAAACAUUUUAUGUAAUACCUUGCCACUAGGGCUUAUAUUGCAUCGAUGAAUGUUUGAAGUGAUUUUCCCGACCCACUUUGCGGUGAUAUUGUACUUCAAUAACCGUAUUUUAUAGCAUCCCAAUGCGAUUCACUUACAUAGGUAUUUUAAUCUCGUACAAUUCAUAAAAUCCUCUUCAAAUCAUUAUUCAAUUGAAGGCCCAAACGUCAUCUGUUAUCUAUCACAUUUACACCAUCAUUAUACUAUCAGGGCAGCAUUCCAUCUCUUCUAAAUGCCAUUAGACUUAGACUCAUUUGAGUUCAUUCAGGCUAUACUGAGCUUUGUAUAACUUAGAGAAACCAUCAGCUCUUUUGUUUUCAUGGUCUUAAUCCUAAGGACUUUAUCCAUUCUCAUCACCUUCUCACUCACCCUUUCUUAUCCUUACUCCUCUCUUCCUAAAACCUUGUCGCUUUACCAUACUUUAGCUUGCGACCUACACAUAUUCAUUUAUACUACUCGCAACCUUCCUUCAACUUGCUUGCGCCAUUGAUUUCCUUAUGUGAUUUUGGAAAAUCAAGCGAGACAUCACAUCGUCUCUAUCUCUUCUUUACUCUCUUGGCUAGAUCUCUCGGUAUGUAGAAACCAUAGGCCGGAAGAUAUGCUACUGAUGAUGCCACUAUCAUUCUUGGAUACUGAAUCCCCACGCUUCUAGCCUUUUAUCCGAAGUAUGGACUAUUCAUAACCUUCUGCAUUUUGAGUAUCUCGUAUGUUGUUCACCUUUACAUUACUUACCUUAAUGUCUUGCAUCACACCUUCUAUAUCUUCCACGACCUCCCUUCUACAUAGGUAUAAUUCAUAUCCACAACUUGAACUUUUAUUAUAAUACUUGCACCUCUUUACAUGAUUCGGUGAGUGGUUCACACUGACUUCUUAUAAGGCUGGUACUCUUCUAACUGGUUUAUCGUAGAGCUAUUAUAAAAUAUGGCUACUGUACCAUCUCUCUUGCACCUCUGAUAUUAAGAGUGAUUAUGCAAUGUUCUCAAUCACGAUGUACAUAAUUUUCUAGGUCCAAUAAUCAAUUCCUAAUUUACUUACUUGAUGUAACCCUUUAGUUUCCUCUUUCCUCUGAUCAACCUUUAUGUAGGCUUAAGCUAUCUUCCGAUCUGCGGCUCAUGGUAUUAGUUAUUACUUUUGCCCUUCAUUGUCGCUAUGGAAUAUCCAUGAUUCAAUCUUUUAACAGUUCAAUCCUUUGUCUAUGCCCUAGGCUCAAUUCUUUCUUUUAACUUAUACCGGAGUCUUCUACGUCUGUAUGAAUGUCAGCAUAUAUGCUGCAUAUAUAAAACUCCGAACUCUUAAGUGCGUUCAUAACGUACUAUGGGUCAUUAAUCGAAUAAUUCUUUUUGUUCCUUCUUAGCUUUCUUUAAAUGUAAGCAAUUACUUUUCCUGGUCUUUUUGCCCCCUUAUUGCGCGCAUAUUUAGCUUAUCUUAGUUCCCGCACAUGCUAGAGUUUUUGUGAAACUUCAUAUGAUCUCGAAUAUUACUUUUGAUUCUUCUUCUCGUUCAGUAGCUGAGCUUAGCUUGAAGCCUGUUAUUGUACAAUGUUGUUGUGAGACUAUUAUUAUAAGAAUAUUCCCUAUUUGGGUCACUGAGCUUAGGUUGAAGCCUUCUUCCUUACUUUCUCAGCUUGUCUUUCACUACACUACGGUUGCUUCUAAACUGAAGUUUUGACUGUCUUCCUAGUGGAAGUCUCCUUUAUUUCUGUAACACUCAUACGGUAUCUUUAACUUUCCCAACUCUUAUUUUAAUAUACCUCAAGUAUUACAAUGUCAUAUCUGCCAGACUGAAUUCCCCACGUUGGGGUUCCCUAUGUUUACCUUGCACGAUCUGUUGAUUUGUCUGUAUCCUCUUGUCUAGCCAUAACUAGGCUCUUCCUGAAUCAACUACUAACUACUCGUUGACCCAUUCUCAUAUCAAUAUUCCGCAUCUUUCUUGGGUUAUUUCCUUUGUCUUAACUUAUGUCUCAUACUAGCUCCUUAUUUAUCAUUAAUAUGUUGGGUAGGAACCCUUACUUCCUCUUCUUGACGUCGUGUUUGCAUAAUGUUCUGGAAUCGUAACAUAUUUGUAGGCUUUGAAUAGGUGAUAUUUCAUCCUUUUCUUAUUUUUAUCGCAUUUCGUCUUUACCACUCCAUAGUUACUAGAAUCACUUAAUUCUGACUUAAUUCCACAUCACUCUAUAUUCCCCCCAUUUAAGGGAUUACUAACAUUUAAUACUAUGAUGAUCUACAUAUAGAUGUUUACCUCUUCAUCUUUGGCAUAUUUUUACGUCAUCGAUGACCCUUACUUGCCUUGCGGUAAUCGUUCUAUACCAAGGAUAACAAAUUUCCUUACUCACGAGGGAGACACCUAGUGUAACUGGCACCUACAGUCCCUUAAGCUUAACUUUUCUCACAUUGCUUGGUUUAGGGAAGCGUCUUCCUAAAUGACCAUUCUCUGAAUUCCUCAUGAAUCUUCUUUUGUUGUCCAUUCUAUUAUCACUGGAACACAAUAUGAAAUUCUUAUGAUGCUGACUAUUAUCAAAUCACUUAGCCCCUAAUUCAUGUUUAGUUUAUCUUGUUCAACAGCCCAUACUAAUUUCUAUUACUCUGGGGAUUAUCUCUCCUUUCUGGUAGUCGCGUUGGAGUCAUGAACUUAUUUCUCGAAAUGAGGAUAUAAAAUUAUGGUCUAUAAUCCCUUGUUGUCUCAAGGCCUGUCACGUCUCGUCAUUUCCUUCACUUAAAUAUAGACUCUAUAAUAUUGUUAUUUUUUAUCUACCAUUGUCAUCCAUGUAUCACGUCUUACUCAUAAUGCUCCAUUAACUCACUUUUUAUUUCUUGCUAACACUUCCGUCAAUCACUUUAUUUCAAAAACUUUGACAAGGCAUUCUUUUGGUUUUAGCUCCCCCUUCCUCCAUCCACGGGCUCUUCAGGUUGCCUAACAUUCUCUCCCUACUAGCCAUACUAAGGUAAUAUUUAUCCCUUGUAGGCUUCUAGUGCCUAUGUUUAUAGUACUCACAUCUAGGUGUACUAUUUUAGAGUGCACCAUCUAGGUAUCUCACAAGGAGAUUUAUUAGCACAUUUACAAUAUUCAUCGGAUAUGUCAACUAACGCAAACAAUCCACCCAUCAUUUUGGGUCACUCUAACCCCAGUCGGAUCUUGAUAUUUCUUUUUCUUAUACUACUUCUGUUAGCUUCCAUAGGGCAUUAAUGAGAUGGGUGUGGCCAAUUGUACAUAAAUCUAUUAGAAUUGAAGGUAACUCAAAAUUCUUAUAUUUCUCUGCUUGAAUUGUAAAUAAUGAUAACCUUCACUAACUGGGUAUCUCGUAUCCUUCUUCUUCUUGCUUCUUUUACUUGUUGAAAUUUGUAUCUAUCUUUUAAAUCUCUCGUUGCCUUUCACCAUAGGGUUAGAUAGAUAUUCUUGCCUUAAGGCUCCUUAUAAAGAGGCUUACAUGUCUUAGUACGCACAUGAUUUACUGAAGACCUUACAUUUACUCAUCAUAAACAUCAUGAAAAAUCAAUUUCCUCUAAUUCAACUCUUCCAACCAUAUUCAAUCUUGUUUACCGUGAAAUGGUAACAACAAUUAAAUUUGUAAAUGGGAUUCUAAAAAUACGUGAUCUAUUAUGCUAGUUGUUAGAGUAGAUGUUGCUAAGAAUAUGAAGUUUAAUGACAAAAUACAAGCUAAAACGAGGCAGUAAUCAAACUGAGGGGCUUGCUAUCCUGGUUUCGGAUCGGUCGAUGGAUGACCUCGAGGUUGGUAUCCUGGCUCGAUCUCAAUCUAUCAGGGUUAGUCGGGAGUGGGAAAAUCAAGUAGAAUAUGAUCAAGCAAUACUCUUUAUGUCCAAUACCAAACACUAAAUGAAGAACAAGUAUGAAAACUAUAGACGCUAAGAAUGGUCUCGAGCCAAUAAGAACGAGGAAGUUAGAGAGAAAAGAGAAAGAUAUUAUUGAUUUUGUGGAGAAAUAGUUGGAGCAACAUCAUACCCUUACAAAGUAGUAUGGGUUCCCUUUAUAUAGGAGGGGAACCCGGUUAUAGUACACAUGCAUCAAUUGUAAAGUAUGGAGAUGAGAUGGCUAGACGCGAUGCUUCGGCAUAGGCUCUAGAUAGGCCGGCUCUAUCAGACUUAGCCGUGUGCCUUGGGAACUUCCCCUUCCGUUCUAGCCUCGACCUUUGUCUUGUUCGAGUCUGGCCUCGACGAGCCUCGAGGGAGGGGACUCAGUCACAACUCCAUGUCCUCGGGGUCUUGAGACAUUCUUCCGAAAUGGCCAAAUAGCAAGGAAUUAAAUCCUUUGAUUUCACCGCGUACAGACAGUCUCCACGUUUCUUAGAACGGAGUGAUGGGAAAUGAUCCUGAUGCCUGACUCCUCGAGCUUCUUAUGGUGACGUAAUACCAAUGAGCAACCUGUGGCGCCAGAUUGUGGCAACCGGGGUGCCCCAUGGACUUGUACAUUUUGACAUCAUUCAAUGCAUUGCCAAUUCACGUUCUCCAAGGUGAAUGUACCACCGUCGAUUCGGUUCCUCAAGAACGCAGUAAUUGCAUCUGCCGGAAAAUAUUCCAAAACCUCGAUGGUCGUGUCGUUACCCCCUAUAAAUGGGGGUGCCUUGGCCUUUUUUUUCCUAUCCCAGUGCCUUCGUUGGCUCAUUUGCCUAUUUCUUCCUAUCAUCUUCUUCUAUCCUUGAACACUAUGGUUGGGGCUCAUGGCGUCAAGGUCGUUAGGCAAAGCUUCCGUAGGCUGUGUUGUGGACUGUUGCCGGAGCUUCCCUUUAUCGAACAUGACCAUGUUGUCCUAUUGUUGCUGUGGUCAUUGUUAUGUUUGUCGUUGGCCCAAGACGAUGAUGGACGGGGAGUCAGUUUUCCCCUUGCUCGCAAAAAGAAAAUUUGGAUUACAUACUUCUGCUCAAAAGGGGGCUCGGAUUAUACACCGCUGCUCACCUUCAUACCCCGGCACGACGUGGUGCCUUGCCUUGAGCUGGUGGCUUUCACGACUAGAUGUUCCAAGAAGUGGACUCUAAGUAGCCAUGUAAGGGGGACCAAGGCUCGCUCGGUCCGCUGUCUCUCUGAGGUUCUCUUGGCCAGCGAGGUUCCUUGAGCUUCGGAGGGCUAUGGUGUUUUUUCAUCCCUCCUUGCUUUUCGCCCUAUCCUUUGUGGAUAUCAUUGUGGAAGGCCGGGAUGAGGCAACAGAGGAUGUGUGUUCAGAUGUGACCGCUGUGUGAUUAAGACCUUCGAAGGUAGAACCUCUAGGCUUUUACCUCGCGUGUGCAUCCUUCUGUUUCUUUCUUUAUGCGUAAGAUCCUCUAUAGGCUUUUGUAAUUGUAUGUAAGGACCACUCGAGGGCUGUUGUACAUAGAUAUUUAUGAAUAUCAAGAUACUUUCUUGAUUUCUGUUUUCGAUUCUUGCCCCAUUAUUGUACGCUUUUGUGCCCUUCGAGGCCUUGAAAUGUUCCCCUUUGUCGGCUGCCGACAUUUAACUUGGAUACGAGCAUUCUUUUCGAUCUUCUGCUGAUUGACAUGGCUCUUUUUUGAGCCCAUUGUCGCACCUCGGGCCGGGCUUGAAUUGAUCUGAUAGGCUCGGGCUAUCGAGCCCUCCAUGUUGCAUGGAGAUAGUAUGCUAAGUUUUGGAGCUUUCGAGAGUGGCAUCCUGAGCGAAGGUCAGCUUUGGGUACCUGGGGGUCUUCUUUGUACUUGAUGUAGAUAGCCUUUUAAAGCGUAGUGGAUAGACUUCCGUUAAGCGGUUGCCUAUGCUUAGGCAAUGCCUCGAUCCCUCCUAGAGCCUUCAUGAUCGGAGCAUCGCGCGCUUAGUUUCUUUUGAGAAAGGGAAACCAUGAGAUCGAGCACCGCCUCGAGUUAAAUGAUGGCAUUUAAGGCUUCUCGAAGCUUGACUUCUCUUUUGGCGGAAUCCUCGAGGUCGGGCAUUACCUCGAGAUUGGAGACAAUACAGUUGACUCGUUGAGACCUAACUUCUUGUUGAUGGAUGCCUCUGGGGUUAGGUACCGCUCUAGGAUCUGUAUCGAGGCCGUUAGCCUCCUAGGGCUUACUCUGGACAGGCGAAUCGUCGUUGUUUCCUGCAUAUAUGUGGGGUGGAUUUUGUUUCUUUGGGAGAUCUCAUUGUUUUGGAUUGAUAUCCCUCUGCCUUGGCAUCGGGUCCUUCGUCUCUUCAGGCGCAAAAAAGUAUUGGAGCACAUCUUUUCCUUAGUCUAUCAAUUCUAUCAUAGCCAUGGUAGCUACUUCGGGGCCGGCCCGGCAGGGAGGGGAGAGUUCCACUCUCAAUGUUCAGGAUCCGCAGGAGUUCACUCUGAAGACUGUGUCUUUGAUAAGAGAGGAACACCUGGAGAUAGUGAGGAGAUACUGCGGAUGGAGCGAGGGGAUAGAGGUGUAGGUGCUUUCCCCAGAUGAGAGUAUCACGGACUCUCCUGAUGGAUAUUUGAAAGUAUACCUAUAUGCCUUUGCAUUUGGCCCUCUUGACAGGGUCGUACUUGGUUUCUGCUUGAAGUAUCGGGUUACUUUGGCGCAAAUACAUCCAUCAUUUUGGCAAGUGGUGCUGAUGAUGAGGUUCUUUGCGGAGAAGGCUAGGCUCAUUCACGCUCAGCCACCUCGUCAGACUGUACCGGCCUUCAUCAUCGAGGCCUGUUAACCUUGCGGUGCUGUUCUUCUACAACCUUUGUUGUCGAUGACGGAGAAGAUAGGGACAAAGAAUGGGUCAGUCGAUUCGUUUGGGUCCGGACGACUUACAUUAUCCCCGUGGAGCUCUUGCCAUUUCCCGAGGGAUAGAAAUAUGCGCGCGAGUGGGGUGUCUUGCGCUCCUUUUGAUUUGCUUAUAGUAAAAGCCAGUUGGAUAAUCGUGCCUCUUCCUAUUUUGCAGCAACUUCAUGGACGUCGGGUGAAGUUCUUGAUUUGCCCGGCUGGGUCCGGAGGUUGGCGACCCAUUCGACUUGCGAUGAGAGUAGGUGGCGAGCUAUGUCUUGUGAUAGAUGGGAAGCGAAAUACUAGGGUAUGCGCGUACGCUACUCCUACCCUCGCCUUCAUAUAUUUGAGAUUAUAUUUUCCUUUUUUUGUAUUGGAUUUGUCGUUGUAGGUGUCAGGUAGUUCCUUGGGGCGAGGCAGUGCUCUUUCGGAGAGGGGAAGGAGUCGUCGGCCUCCGAGGCGAGGGACGAUGGCAAUAAAUAUGAUUUGCACCCACAGUGUGGUGGAGCUUUUGAUGGGGCUCAAUGGGCCCGUGUCUUCGAGGAGAGGACGUCGCCCGAGCCUGCUGUUCCCGGAGUGUUUGAUUCCAGAAUAGUGGUUCCUCCAAGUGAAUAUGCUUUGCCCGAGGUUGGUUCUUCUGGGGCCGAAGGGGUAGGAUCAACAGUAGUGUGCUCCGCCUUCGAGGAAGUCCGCCGACUUCACUUCAUGGUGAGUUUCAGUGCAGUCCUUCUGUAUUUCGCCCUUUCUUUAUUGAGUUUUUCUUUGUAGGCCUUUGAUAGGAUCAGGUCUGAGCUGCUCCAUCACAGGGCCAGGCUUCAGCAAGCAAUGGACAAGGGUGAGUCCUUUAGGCUCCUUAGCGAUGAGAAUGAGGUUGAGUUGAUGUACUGGCAAUAUGAGGCGUAUCGAGGCACGAAUUAUGACAGCUAUUUGCUGGAGCAGGUAACCUUCUAUAGUACACUCUUCGCUCUUUUUGACCCUUAAGGUUAACCCUCUUGCCUUCUUAGCUGCAGAAAAAGACGGAGGCCUUGGAAUACCUUAAGGGCAAAGCCGACCGCGUCAGGACUGCUUGUGCCGAACUGAGGGCUUAGUGCAGGCUCAAGCUUUAGAGGAGAGGGGCGCCUUGGCCAAGGUUCCCGCCUUCGAGUCCCAACUCCGCUUGGUGUGUGACAACGCUACAGUUCAAGUGGAUAUGAUCGGGAAGCUCGAGUCCGAUCUCUUAAAGAUCAGGGCUGAGAUAAUCGAUGCCCGGGUUGAAGCAGCAUUAAUUCAAACCAAGUCUGAUUAGGAGAUGGCGAUUUGUAUGAAGGACGCUACUGAUGUCCCAGCCGAGUUGAAGUGGGCCCUCAACUGUGAGAAAGGAUCGAGGAAUAUGUUUGUUGCAAAUCCCGAAGAGAGGUACUCGAGGAGAUCAGCGCUAGGGGCUUCUUCUCUCGGAGCAAUUGGCUCGAGCCAGGGCAGACGAGCGCGGCGCUUGGUCCCUUGUUGCUGGCAUUAUUGAGAGUGAAUCUGGGGCUGGCAGGCUGUAGCCUUUUGCAACGGAGUGUAGAUUUCGUCAGUUUUCCAUUUUGUACUUUGAUAUUUGCAGAACUUGUUUGUAGAUGGAGAUCGCGCCUUUUGCGUAUGUAAAUAAGAGAAUACAUGAAGCUUUAUCUCUUUUGUAUCUUGUUAUUUCAUUGCUUGCGACCAGGCAGUCUAGUUCUCGGUGUCUGGCGGGAACCCUAUGGAUCCGGAGCUUACUAGAUAGGCCCGGAGGCUUUUAAGUGCUAUUUGUGACAUGAGUAGGCGUCAGGGUCUUUGUGCUUUGCCCAGCUGUUUAGGCAUAGUCUCUGAGUUGGGUCUUGAUUCGAGCUUACCUGACCUCCGAUCUCCCACGCCUGCAUGAGCGGAUGAUGAUUGUCCUUAUUCCUUGCCCUUGGGUAUUUGUAUUUCAACUAUUUCGGGUCUCGUCUCCAAGUUACGUUGCAACUCGAGCUUUAAUUAACCCUUAAGUUCUUUCGUGCAUGCAUGGGCGAAUGACGAUGGCUCUUACGCCUUGUUGGAUCUAAGAGACCUUUUGAGUGUGUGGCCUGGGGGCUUGUUUGGCCGGUGAGAAUCGAUCUUAUGCUUUUGCCCGUGGGUAUUUUGUAGUUAACUAUUUUGGAUCUGGUCUCCGAAUCGGGUAACAACUCGAGCUCAUUUUAAUCCUCAAGUUUUCAAUUUUCAAGCUGGCAACAGUGGCUCUUACACUAUUUGGUCGUUGACACCUUCUAGUAUGCGGCCCGAAAGCUCGUUUGGCUGGAGACAAUGGCUCUUAUGAUUUUGCCCGUAGGUAUUUUGUAGGCUUUGUUUUACUCUCGUUAAGGUCUUUUUUGAAAUGAUUUUUCCUGACCCAUUGUCGGUUCUGGAAGAACCUCGAUCUCAAGUCGUUAGCGGCGAUGUUCGAGCACCUCGAAAGGUUCUUAGCUCGUAGGCUGAGUAGUUUGAAGCCUUGUGUUUUUUGGAGCUGACAUGGUCGAAGCUCGUUUGCCUGUUGAGGGAAGUCUGUUUUAACCGGUUCUUUUUGAAGUAUAUUCGAAGUAAUGGCAUGCGAUUUUGUCAGCAACAGUCGGGCAUCCCCGAGUCGCAUUAAUUUGACUAGAGCAGCUAUUUUGACCAUAGUCAUAUGUGUUUUGCUGGAGCCGUUUUUGAUCUCGAGUGAUAGUUUAGGCGUCUACACCGAGGGUAUGCCCUUUCGGGAUUCUUACAAAUGCGACAUAUAGCUUAAACUUUGGGAUUGAGUUUUACGCAUGUAGUAAGGUCUUACAAAGUUUUCAUACCUGUUGAGGUCUUACAGUUUUUGUUGCUAUGCAGAAUAGACCUGGUUAUACCGAGUUUUCCCGCUCGGGGUCUUACGGCCUUGGGUUUUCCAGGGUGCGGCGAUUGGCGACAGUCUCCGAGUCAUGGAGUUUGCUUAGGCUCGAAGGUGAGUAUUCAUGAGCUCGAAGUUACCUUGUUGGGGCUUUAUGAGCCUAGAGUUCCAACCCUGGGCUCGUGUGGACGCCAAGUUGUUGACGCUAAGUCUCCAAGUACUUCGGGACACAUUUGAUGGAGGGAUCCCCAUCGAAAGUAUGCUGAAAUUCCCUUUUAUGGAGUGUGAGGUGCUUUUGGUGAUAGAUACCCUUCGAUCUAUUAAUGUAGUUGUGUUGUUGCGUUAAAUAAAUCUUUGUUGGACCGAGUUUGCUCACUUGGGGUCUUAUGGCCUCAAAUUUUCAAGCGCGUGGUGAUUGGCGACAAUCCUUGGAGAUUAAAGGUACCCCUGAUGUUGGUGACGCUAGGAGAUUUCCGAGUUGCCUUACCCGAAAACUUUGAGAUUUUGGAGUUUCGACCCGGAGGCCAUCUGAGCGGUGAAUUGCUAGCGUCAGUCUCAAGUGUUUGGGGCGUUUUUGGCGAGAGAAUUGUAACCUUACUUUUUCAAAGGUGUUUUUUGACAAAAGAUAUUCUUUGAUUUCUUGGUACAAUAGUACACAUGUUCGCCGAUGGGGGACUAACUAUACGGACACGGUUUUUCCAAUCGUUUGGUCUGGUAUAUUGCUUCCGUUUUCUAGCGGGUAUGUUUCUGGGGAAACACCCUUUAUUGUUCAAAGGGUUGCUUGCAAGAGGAGUCUUGAGUAUUUGCAGAGUUUUCCUUAGGCAUCUCGCAGUCGUCGCAUCGUUAAAAACAUUGCCGGUAAAAUAUUCUUUUGGGAAAAAAACUCGGUCAAAGGAAAAUAGUGCAACGGGUAUGUUUUUAGAGCCUUUGAGGUCUUCGGGCAGUGCCAAUGCUAUGACAGCUUUAGUCGGGUGCCUACACAAGGGUUAGUUCUGAAUUCAAAACAAAAAAAAGGAGAAGGUCGUACCUUGAAGUGAGAUGCGCUGGCGAUGCCUCGGGGUUGAUUUGUUGUAACUGCCUGAGGCGAAGACGCAGUACGGACUUCCGCUUCGUUUUGUCAAGUUCGAUCGAGGGUGAGACCCGAUUCGCCAUUUGGCUUAUUCGGGGGCAGAGGCAUGAGCGUUGGUAUCACGUCGUGUAUUGCGAACAUUUCCCUUGCCGCAUGUUAUUCCCCAUAGACAAUUUUGAUCCCGUCUUUUGUUGAGAAUUUUAUCAUCUGGUGAAGGGUGGAUGGAACUGCUCUCAUGCAGUGUAUCCAUGGCCACCCGAAUAGGGCAUUAUACCUCAUGUUUCCGUCGAUGACAUAGAAUUUGGUGUCUUGAGUCGUGCUCGCCACGAUGACCGUGAGGAUGAUUUCUCCUUUCGUUGUUUUGCUUGCCAUGUUGAAUCCAUUGAGGACCCGAGUGGCAGGCACGAUUUGGUUGAGCAAUUCGAGUUGUUCUACUACCCUCGACCUAACAAUAUUGGCCGAGCUACCUUGAUCCACGAGUACACGUUUUAUUUGAAAAGAAUUUACAAAGAAGGAAAUUACUAGGGCGUCAUUGUGGGGUUGAGACAGGGUCUCGGUGUCUUCUUCGCUGAAUGUGAGGGCGUCUUUGGGGAUAUAUCCUUGAGUCCGCUUUUCUCUAGUGAUGGAUAUUUUUGUUCUACUCAUUAUGAUUUCCUACGGGGCAUCGGCGCCCCCUAUGAUCAUGUGGAUGACGUGUUGCGGAUCGUUUGCCUCGUUCUUUUUGGUUUCUCCCUUUCUCGGAAGUUAUUUUUGGCUCGAUCGCUAAGAAAUUCUCGGAUAUAUCCUUUGUUAAGCAGCCGAGCUACCUCCUCUCGUAGUUGAUGACAAUCCUCAGUCUUAUGGCCAUGCAUGUUGUGAAACUCGCAUACUAAAUUGUAAUUCCUUUGCGAUGGAUCUGAUUGUAUCGGUUUGGGCCGUUUGGCGUCUCUAAUACAUCGACGUUGAAGUUGUAUUCUAACAGGUGGCGUGAACCUAUUGGUACUACAUUUCAAUCAAUCUUGGCUCAGUUGAUGAGCCCUCGACGGUCUUUUCCUCAAUCCACCCUCCGAUCAUUUCGGGGUAGGUUGCGCCUCGGCUCUGAUCUUCGAGUGGUACUAGUUGUGGACAUCCGACCAGGUCAUGGCCGGGUACUCGAUCAGGUUCUGUUUCAGCUAUAUUAAAGUGACCGAGCUUCGUUCGUUCAGGCAUUGGGUGAAGGGCCGUACUACCCAGUCGUCGGAGACUAGCGGUAGCUCCAUCCGUUCCAUCUGAAAGCAGGACACGAAUUCCCGCAAAAUAUCGUUCUCUCUUUGCUUGAUUUUGAAGACGCCAGACUUCCUUGUUGCUACCUUGAUGGCCCCGGCAUGCGCCUUUGUGAAGGAAUCUGCUAGCAUGGCGAAUGAAUCUAUGGAAUUAGGAGCCAAGUUGUGAUACCACAUCAUGGCUCCCUUCGAGAGUGUUUCCCCGAAUGUUUUCAGCAAUACUCACUCUAUCUCAUCAUUCUUCAUAUCGUUGCCUUUUACUGCUCAGAUGUAGGCAGUAACGUGUUCAUUAAUGUCAGUGGUACCGUUGUACUUAGGGCAUUCCAACAUUCUAAACUUCUUUGGAAUAGGCUUUGGAGCCGCUUCCUCGGAGAACGGCCUUUGUAUGAUCUUCUUCGAACCCACGCCCUUGAGGACCGGGGGUGCACUCGGGAUCUGAUCGACCCUAGAGUUGUAGGUCUCGACUUUUUUAUUGUUGGUUGCUAUCAUUUUCUCACCUGAUUCGAUCCUUUUGGUAAGGUCCUCAAGCAUCUUUAUUAUGGCAGAGUCGGCUACCGAUCUGUUAUUGCUCGAUCUUUCGGGUACUUGUUCGGCGGGGGGAGCCGUUUCCAGCGCUGCUGUGUUGGGAGUCUUCGGAUGACUUUGUAACUGAGCGAUGGCCAACUGUUGUGUCUGCAACAUUUCAAAAAUAACAUGAAGGCUAACUUCCUGUUCUUCAAGGGCUAGGGUUUUUUGGGCCUCCGUUCGGUCGCUGUGUCGUAUGCUUCUGUCAGUGUGCGGAGUUUCGUCGACCUGUUGUGCGUCCUAUGAGUCCACAUCUACUAGAAUCGCCCCGGGCGCAUUAUCGGGGUGCUGUGGUUGCGUUUCGGCAGCCGAGACAGCCACGCCGUUUUCCCCGUAUUUUUCAAGGUUGUCGUUCUCGAUUCUGUUCACCGAGCCAGACAUUGUGACCUGAAAUCAAGAGUUCUUGGACAAGAAAAGUGUGAAAGAUAACUUGCGUUUUUGUAAUGUAACCAGCAAGAAAAUAAUCACUAUUAUUUUUAACCCCACUGUGUGCGCCAAACUAUUUACCGUGAAAAUGUUAACAACAAUUAAAUUUGUAAAUGGGAUUUUAAAAUUAUGUGAUCUAUUUUUAUGCUAGUUGUUAGAGAAGAUGGUGCUAAGAAUAUGAAAUUUAAUGACAAAAUACAAGCUAAAACGAGGCAGUAAUCAAACCGAGGGGCUUGCAGUCCUGGUUUCGGAUUGGUAGAUGGAUGACCUCGAGGUCGGUAUCCUGGCUCGAUCUCAAGCUAUCGGGGGUAGUCGGGAGUGGGAUAAUCAGUUAUAAUAUGAUCAAGCAAGGCUCUUUAUGGACAAUACCAAACACUAAAUGAAGAACAAGUAUGAAAACUACAGACGCUAAGAGUGGUCUCGAGCCAAUAAGAACGAGGAAGUUAGAGAGAAAAGAGAGAGAGAGAUAUUAUUGAUUUUGUGGAGAAAUAGUUGGAGCAAUAUCAGACCCUUACAAAGUAGUGUGGGUUCCCUUUAUAUAGUAGGGGAACCCGGUUAUAGUACAACAUGCAUCAGUUGUAAAGUAUGGAGAUGGGACGGCUAGACGCGACGCUUCGGCAUAGGCUCUGGAUAGGACGGCUCUAUCAGACUUAGCCGUGUGCCUUGGGAACUUCCCCUUCCGUUCUAGCCUCGACCUUUGUCUUCUUCGAGUUGGGCCUCGAUGAGUCCCGAGGGAGGGGACUCGGUCGCAGCUCCAUAUCCUCGGGAUCUUGAGGCAUUCUUCCGAAAUGGCCAAAUAGCGAGGAAUUAAAUCCUUUUAUUUUGCCGCAUACUAAUCUCUUACCAACUGUCUUUCUGGGUGUAGGUAUCGUCUUAUUACAAAUAUAAGUUAGGAGUUUGAAUCUUAUAAGUGAGAUCUACCACACGAUCUAGAGUAAGAAGAAAGAGUGACAGUCUUAAAUGCACUGUAGCCUCCUGCUUAUAAGUGUGGUGCACAACACACCCAUAAACAACACUAUAAUAGACACGGCUUGUAGACUCCCUAGGACAAAACUGCUAUGAUACCAUUUUUGUCACGACACAAAUCGAUAGGCUGCGACGGGUACCCGGUACCCUUACUCAAGCGAGUACCAACGUAAUGUAUCCUUCUCAUUACCUCAACAUGGGUAAAUGGGACAUAAGAGGCAUAUGAGGUAACAAGAAUAAAACAUGAGAGAACACUCGACAUAGAACGACCCAACCUUAUAUACUGACUUAUACAUAUGACAUACAGGCUAAUAAAGACGGCAUGAUCCUUUAUAUACUCAAAACGUAGGCCGACAAGGCCAUAUAAGAAUCCGUAUACAUGACAUCUGUCUACAAGCCUCUAAGAAUACAAAAUAUCAUAAAGGUCGAGAUAGGGCCCCACCAUACCAAUCAAUACAUACACUAAUCAUACUGACCAAAGUAGCAACUCCAUAGCAAAUGGAGCGCACCAACCCCUUCCGCUGAGCUGAUAGCCUACUCAGAGGAAUCGCAACCCGUCUAUUAGGACCUGCGGGCAUGAAAUACAGUGUCCCCAUGCAAAAGGGACAUUAGUACAAAUUAUGUACCGAGUAUGUAAGGAAUGAAAAUUAGUAAAUAAUAGACAUGAUAGAAACAUGGAGUAAAAGACUCAACAUAUAAGUCUAGAUAACACUGUAAAUCAUGGAAUACUUAUAGUGUCAUGCAUAUGCGUAUGAAUGUCAUGUCGUGCAUAAGUACAUGUGUUCAUAACAUCAUCAAGCCUUUGAGGGCAUCUCAUCAUAUCAUCUCAGCCACUGUGCACAAAAUCAUCAAUGUAUACCAGCUGAUCAGGUGGUUGUGCGUAUAUAACAUUGUAACCUUUUACCAUAUCCCAUGUACAUACAUAUAUACAUAUAUACGCUUAUAUAACGCCAUCUGAUCAUGGGUCGAUGUACAUGUAUAAAUGAGUACAAUGCAUGAGUACGCCAGUAAAAUCUCUCGAAACAUCAUAAGACCAUUAUGCCUCUGAUUAAUAUCAUGAAGUAAACUUUAUCAACUUACGUAUUUUAUGAGACCCAUGAACAGAUGAUAGAAUAAUAGGAUACAUGGGGAAUUAAGAACAUAGGCAUCUCUAGCAUUUCUAUAAAUAGAGUCAUUUAUAAAAGUUGUGCAUUUGCUCGUUUCAUUUGUGCCAUAUGCAUCAUGCCAAAAGGAAAGAAGGUAUAGCCUUAACAUACCUGAGUCGAUUCUCUUGACAAUCCCUCUAACACAUGUCUUUUGCAAAAAACACAUAACGACGGAUCCAUGUAGGGAAAAAUCCGUAUGAUAUUCUUGAGAAAGAUUGUACCGUACUCCCUUAGAAUUGCACGUCACGUUGCUAUUACAAAAUUCAAAAUGGUAUUGCUCUACAUGGACAUAACGUUACACAAAUCCACUACGAAUUUAUAAGCUUUCUUUGUUGCUCCUCCACCAUUGUUUCUAAUACAUAUAUCCCAAAUUAAUGAGAUAUAAAUGUCUUUUAUCCUAGUGGUGUGGUCCCUACUUAAUAACGCUUACCUUAGCCACCCAAAUCUCUUAAAAUGCCAUCUAGCAAUGUGACUAAAGAGUCACUUAAAUCAAUAUUCUUGGGCUGCCACGUUGGGGGUUUAUUAAGCCUUAUCAAAAUUUUUAAUUAUUCACUUAUUUAUUAUUUAACUAAUUAAUCUCCCAUUAAUCAAUAAUCACACAAUUACCCACAUAAUUAUGAAUUAUCUCAAAUUAAUUAAAAUACUACUCACUUUUAACAUACCUUAUACACUUUACUAUCAUGUCCAUGUGGUACCUUGUAUGGUACUAGUCCAUAAAUACCGGGUAUUUUAGCUCGGGCCGUAUUUUAUCCAAAAAAGUCAAAUAUCGACGAAAUUUAUUUUCUUCGAUUUUCUUACCCUCUCACAUUCAUGAAUUUACUCAUCACUUGUUUGAAAUAGCAUAAUGCUUAUAAUCUCAAAAUAAUCUCAUUCCCGAACUUACGUCGAAACUUAAAUGUACAAAAAAAUGCGGGAAGUAAUAUAUCAUUUCCGAGCUUUCAUCAAUUUGCUAAUGACGUACUUUUACGUACGAAAAUAUGGAGUGUAACAUUUAGGCACCGAGCUACAAACCCCACUCCAUCUUCCUCCAUCCUCCUCUACCAAUAGUAGUGCCUCAAGUCCUGAUAUAUCUUUGCGGCACUCGAUAAAUGGAAUAACGCAAAUUAUGGGCCUCCCCAAGAAUCAACUCACAUAGCCCAUUAACAUUGGGCACACAAAUAUGACCCUGCAUCCGCACCACCCCAGUAUCUCCAAUAGUGACCUCCUUGGCAUCACCAUGCUGAACCGUGUCCUUAACGACAAGCAAAUGCGGAUCAUCAUACUGACGCUCUUUGAUGCAAUCAUAUAAGGAAGACUGAGAAACCACACAAGCUAGAACUCGGCUAUGCUUAGAAACAUAUAAUCUCACAAACUGGUUGGCCAAGGCCUAAACAUCUAAUGCAAGUUGUCUCUCACAUGCGGGAAUAAAUGCAAGGUUGCCCAUAGUCACCUCCUUUCUAAUCAAGGCAUCGGCCACCACAUUGGCCUUCCUCGAAUGAUACAGGAUGGUAAUAUCAUAGUCCUUUAGUAUUUCCAACCAUCUUUGCUGACUCAAAUUUAGAUCCUUUGGUUUGAACAAGUGAUGGAGACUACGAUGAUCCGCAAAGACCUCAGAAGACACAACAUAGAGAUAAUGCCUCCAAAUCUUCAGUUCAUGAACGAUAAAUGCUAACUCCAGGUCAUGAGCAUGUUUAUUCUUCUCAUAAGGUUUCAACUGGCACGAAGCAUAAGAAUCACUCUACCGUCCUACACCAAGAGACACCCAAUACCAAUCCGAGAAGCAUCACAAUACACUAUUUAAGAGCCUGACACUGAAGGCAAAACUAGAAUUGGAGUUGUGGUCAAGGUAGUCUUGAGCUUCUGAAAGCUCUCCUCACACUCAUCCAACCACCUGAAUGGCGCACCUUUCUAGGUCAAUUUGGUCAAAGGCGCUGCAAUAGACGAGAAACCCUCUCCAAAGAAACGAUAAUAUCCGGCUAAGCCGAGAAAACUCUGAAUCUCCGUAGCUGAAGAUGGUCUGGACAAACUUUGAACUGCCUCUAUCUUCUUUAGAUCUACCUUAAUCCCCUCACUAGACACCACGUGCACCAAGAGCGCCACCGAACUAAGCAAAAACUUGCACUUGGAGAACUUGGCAUACAGUUUCUCUUCCCUCAGCCUCUGAAGUAUAAUUCUUAAAUAUUGUGCAUGCUCCUCUUGACUACGUGCGUAUACAAGGAUGUCAUCAAUGAAUACUAUGACAAAAGAAUAAACAUACUGUCACACCUCCUUUUUGACUUACACCCCGUAAAGGGUAUAAAUACAAGGGAGUCUUUCCAAUUAAAGGACAAUCGAAACGGGGUUAAUUAUUGAAAUUCAGAGUCGCCACUUGGGAGAUUUAUGGUGUCUCAAGUCACCGGUUUAGAAUCCCGAAUCGAGGAAAGAUUUAACAGUCCGCGAACCAGAAAUCCGGGUAAGGAAUUCUGUUAACCUAGGAGAAGGUGUUAGGCACUCCCGAGUUCCGUGGUUCUAGCACGGUCGCUUUGAUCAUACUUGGCUUAUUAAAUUAUCUAAUUACUCAUUUUAGAACCUUUGUGCAUUUACUUUUCACCGCUUUUUAAUUAAGAAGAUUAUAUUGAAACGAGUCACGCGCACGUGUACCCAUUUAUUUGGUGCGUCAGAAAUCAUGUCAUGCGAACGUGUCCACAAUUAGUAACGUUUUAUUAUUAUUAAGAAAAAUUAGUCGAAGUUGCGCGAAGGCAUACCCCAAUUUAUUUUUCAAAAAUCAUAAUUAUGUCACGCGAACGUGUAAACAGUCGCAAUAGAUAGAUUAAGUGCGUGCCUAAAAGAAACAUUUCUAAGGAUGUUCAUUUUCACAAAUUCCACACUAACUUGCCAACUUAAUUAAUCUAACAAUUAAUAUACUCAUUCAAGAACGUAGAUAGCUAUACAAAUUCAGAGACAUAAUUUUAUACAAUUAAGUUAAUCAUUGAAUCAAUUAUACAAUUAGGUCCAACUUAAGUGAGUCUACAUUUUGAAAGAAACGUAUAAAAGUUUGGCUUCUAAACUAAUACGUAUUACAAAAGCUACCGUAACAAGAGCAUAAAAUAAAGAAAAACAUGAAAUUGUCCUUACUUCAAGGAUAAGAAGAUGAAGGAUGAAAUCUACUGUAACAAGAAAAUAAAAUCAAUAAGAAAAGACAAUAAAAUAAAGAAAAAAAAACAACCCAAACAUCUCCAAGCUGCUGUAACAAGAUGGAAGAACAAUGAAAAUUAAGAAAACAGAUCUUUUACAUAUGAGAAUACGAAGAUGGAAACGGACCUUUUUUAUAUGGAAAAGCUUCUUCAAUACAAAGGUCAAAGCGAAUAGAGAACUCGCCGGAAACUCGACCUCGUCCGCAACCUAGAACUCGACUUAAAGCUUGUGUUUCGAGGAUUGUUCAGCUGGAAUUUUGGUAAUAUUUUGGUACUGUGUCGUGAUGGAAUUAGCAGCGAUUUAGCUAUUGCUCCAGGGUCGUUUCUGGGUCUGUUUCGCAGCAAGUUUGUUGCGUUACAACUCUAAGUUCACGGCAGCCUUAUCUCUAGAGGAAGCACUGAAGAAGCGUUUUUGGUCUUCUUGGUUGUAGCCUCUAAUUUUUAGGUCUUAGAAUCUAUAUUUGGUCUCAUGUGUAUCUUGUGUAUUUCAACUCAUUUUUUAGGCGUCUGCUGAAGAAGACGAUGGACUUUAAAGGGAGGGUUCAUUUUUUGUUAUGGGAAACGGCGGAUUAGUUUUUUAGGGUCCUCGUUCUCUUUCGCCUCUUUUCAAACUCUUUUUUUCUUCUUAAAAUCUUUCCACCCCCCCCCCCCCCUUUUUUAAAAAAUGAAGACCCUUCCUUUUUUAAAAUAAAAAAUAAAAAAAAAUCCCACCAUCCGUGAAUCCCUCCCCCUUUUCAAAAGAUGUCCGAGUAUUCCGCCUCCUUUUUCAAAAGAUGUCCCCCAUUAUCUUGGAGUUGGUGUAAGGUGUGGUGGGUUUGGAUUGUUAUGGGUUAGGUCCGAAAAUUAGGCCUAAAAACGGGUAGUUUGAACCCAAAUAUUAUUCUUUCGUCCGGACCCGAGAAUAAGAACACGACAUUGUUCAAUUAAUCCUAUGUAAGUAAAAUAACUAUCAAAAUAAGACUAAUAUUUAAG